rnacentral:lncRNA from 1 species
UAACAACACAAAGUAUUAAAGACAAAAUUAACUGAAUAACAAUUAGUUGUUAUUGAAUAAACUAGAUACUCGUAAUUACAUGGUUCAGAUAGUUUCAAAUAGAUCAACCUUACAAUUCAUAACCUAAGAGAAUUAGCUACUCAUUGUAAUAAUACACAUUGCAAAAGUGUUUUGAAGAUUAUACAUGAAUAAAAGAAGAAUCACACACUUGAAAAUAUGGAUGUAAAUGGAUAUUCAUAGGGGUGGAUAAUAUGAUAUUCGUACCCGCUCCGUUGGAUAAAUAUGAUAUCCGUAUCCGCCUCACAUGCAUGCGAGUAUCCGCUAAGCAGGUAAUUCACAGAUUUGAGGUAUCCCAUGGAUAAUAGACAUAUCCAUGGAUAAUAAUUUUUUUAAAAAAAUAGUGUGAUUUUUGUAAAGUUUUUUUUAUUGACGCAUAAUUUUUUAUUUUUUUUUUACAAACACAAACUCACAUUAUUUCAUUAAUCAAUAAGGAAAAAAUACAAAGAGGAAUCAAAUUGGACUAGAUCAAGAAAUGGCCGUCCUAGCAAGCGUAUGAGCAACCAUAUUCACUUGUCGCUGAAUGAACUUUACCACAAAGCUUGAAUUUAGAGACAAUACAUUUUUAAUGGUACAAACCAAAGAGCUAAAUUCCGAGUUACCAACACGGAUAUUGUAAAUAGCAUCCGCCACACUUUUUGAAUCUGUUUCAAAGAUUACACGUGUGAUUCCUGUAUGUUUCAUUUCUUUCAUUGCUUCGAGUAAUGCUAUUGAUUCUCCUUCAAUUAUGGAUCAUUAACUAUGAUUCCAUGAGGUUCCCACCAUCAUAAAGUGUCUAAUGUAUUAUUUAAAUCCUUGUGAAACCCGACAUCUAUGUUGCAUUUGUACCAAUUGACUUGCAGUUUUUGCCACUGUAAUUGUUUUUGUUUCUGUUUGGACUGUAUUUGGUUGUGCUGGAAAUUCUGCACAGUCCUCUAUUCAUUCCAAUGUUGUAUUGCUUUAAAACCCAAGCUUCUUCCAGCUUCUUUCGAGUCAUUCCAAACACUAUUGUUCAUUUGUUCCUAUUAUUCCAAACACUCCUGCUGUAUCGAUAUUUUCUAUUCGGCAUAUGUCAAGAAUCACAUCUUUGGCAACACUUAAUUGAGCAAUAUGAACUGUCAUGACAGUUGCAAGAACAAAAAAUAUUUAACAACAAAGUCAACACAUUUAUUUUCCUUCUUUUUCUCAAAAUAUAAUAAUAUCCAUACAUUUCUCUUAAGAAAAAAAUAC